rnacentral:rRNA from 1 species
AGCUCCAGUAGCGUAUAUUAAAGUUGUUGCAGUUAAAAAGCUCGUAGUUGGAUUUCUGCUCGUAGCGUUGGGUCAGCUGGGGUUACCCAUGCGAGUACCUGUUCGCUCCUUGCAUCCUUCUAGAGAACGGCUCUCUCCUUCAUUGGCAGUGGGGUCGCAAUCUAGAUCUUUUACUUUGAAAAAAUUAGAGUGUUUAAAGCAGGCUUGUGCUAUGAAUACAUUAGCAUGGAAUAAUAAUUUAGGACUUUAGUUCUAUUUUGUUGGUUUCUAGGACUGAAGUAAUGAUUGAUAGGGAUAGUUGGGGGUGCUAGUAUUCAGCGGCCAGAGGUGAAAUUCUUGGAUUCGCUGAAGACUAACUUAUGCGAAAGCAUUCACCAAGGAUGUCUUCU